rnacentral:lncRNA from 1 species
CACUCUAAAAGUAAAAAUUCUAAAAUGCAACGGGUAUAUUGGUGACGUGGCGUAACGAAUCAAUCAAAUAUUUCCUUUUAGGAGUAUAUGUCCUAUCAUGAUUAAAAAGAUAUAUUUUAUUAUAUUUUUGUUGAAAAGAAGAAAUAUGAUUGGCUUAUUAUUGAUGACGUGUAAGUAUAACAGUAUAGAAUUCUCUUAUAAAAGGAGAGGUGAAGAAGAAAAAAAAUAUUG